rnacentral:rRNA from 1 species
GUGGGGAAUUUUGCGCAAUGGGGGAAACCCUGACGCAGCAACGCCGCGUGAGUGAUGAAGGCCUUCGGGUCGUAAAGCUCUGUCAGAGGGGAAGAAAUGCAGGGGUGCUAAUAUCAUCUUUGCUUGACGGUACCCUCAAAGGAAGCACCGGCUAACUCCGUGCCAGCAGCCGCGGUAAUACGGAGGGUGCGAGCGUUGUUCGGAAUUAUUGGGCGUAAAGCGCGUGUAGGCGGUUUGGUAAGUCUGAUGUGAAAGACCCGGGCUCAACCUGGGAAGUGCAUUGGAAACUGUCAGGCUUGAGUACGGGAGAGGGUAGUGGAAUUCCUAGUGUAGGAGUGAAAUCCGUAGAUAUUAGGAGGAACACCGGUGGCGAAGGCGGCUACCUGGACCGAUAUUGACGCUGAGACGCGAAAGCGUGGGGAGCAAACAGGAUUAGAAACCCGUGUAGUCC